rnacentral:rRNA from 1 species
AUGGUUGGACGAAAUAUAUACUGUUUCAUUUAAAAUUUAAAUAGAAUUUUAUUUUUUAGUUAAAAAGCUAAAAUAUAGUCAAAAGACGAGAAGACCCUAUAAAUCUUAAUUGUGUAUAAAUUUUUAAUUUGGGUUGAUUUUUUUAAGUAUAAAUUUAUAUAUAAUUUCAUUGGGGUGAUGUUAAAAUUUAAUUAACUUUUAAUAAUUUUAUUCAUUUAUUUAUGAUUAAGUGAUCCAUUAUUAGUGAUUAUAAAUUUAAGUUACUUUAGGGAUAACAGCGUAAUUUUUUUGGAGAGUUCUUAUCGAUAAAAAAGUUUGCGACCUCGAUGUUGGAUUAAGAUUCAUAUUUAAAUGUAGAAGUUUAAAUAUUAAGUCUGUUCGACUUUUUAUUCUUACAUGAUCUGAGUUCAAACCGGUGUAAGCCAGGUUGGUUUCUAUCUUUGAUUUAAUAAAAUAUUUUAGUACGAAAGGAAUUAGUAUUUAUUUUUUAGAAAUUUAAUUAA